rnacentral:rRNA from 1 species
GAUGAACGCUGGCGGCGUGCCUAAUACAUGCAAGUCGAGCGAACAGACGAGGAGCUUGCUCCUCUGACGUUAGCGGCGGACGGGUGAGUAACACGUGGAUAACCUACCUAUAAGACUGGGAUAACUUCGGGAAACCGGAGCUAAUACCGGAUAAUAUAUUGAACCGCAUGGUUCAAUAGUGAAAGACGGUUUUGCUGUCACUUAUAGAUGGAUCCGCGCCGCAUUAGCUAGUUGGUAAGGUAACGGCUUACCAAGGCAACGAUGCGUAGCCGACCUGAGAGGGGGAUCGGCCACACGGGAACUGAGACACGGUCCAGACGCCUACGGGAGGCAGCAGUAGGGAAUCUUCCGCAAUGGGCGAAAGCCUGACGGAGCAACGCCGCGUGAGUGAUGAAGGUCUUCGGAUCGUAAAACUCUGUUAUUAGGGAAGAACAAAUGUGUAAGUAACUAUGCACGUCUUGACGGUACCUAAUCAGAAAGCCACGGCUAACUACGUG